rnacentral:ncRNA from 1 species
CUUAUCCAGAGCGACCGAGGGACUUGGCCCUACGACGUCCGGCAACCCCCAUAAUGGGAAGGUGCCAAUUCCGGCAGAAUGAUUUCAUUCUGAAAGAUAAGG